rnacentral:rRNA from 1 species
UACGUAGGGUGCGAGCGUUGUCCGGAAUUACUGGGCGUAAAGAGUUCGUAGGCGGUUUGUCGCGUCGUUCGUGAAAACUUGGGGCUUAACUCCAAGCGUGCGGGCGAUACGGGCAGACUUGAGUACUACAGGGGAGACUGGAAUUCCUGGUGUAGCGGUGAAAUGCGCAGAUAUCAGGAGGAACACCGGUGGCGAAGGCGGGUCUCUGGGCCGUUACUGACGCUGAGGAGCGAAAGCGUGGGGAGCGAACAGG